GUGAGGUAAUGGCUCACCAAGGCUACGACGGGUAGCUGGUCUGAGAGGAUGACCAGCCACAUUGGGACUGAGACACGGCCCAGACUCCUACGGGAGGCAGCAGUGGGGAAUAUUGCGCAAUGGCCGAAAGGCUGACGCAGCGACGCCGCGUGCGGGAUGAAGGCCCUCGGGUCGUAAACCGCUGUCAGGAGGGACGAAACUCUGACGGUACCUCCAGAGGAAGCACCGGCUAACUCCGUGCCAGCAGCCGCGGUAAUACGGAGGGUGCGAGCGUUGUCCGGAAUCACUGGGCGUAAAGGGCGCGUAGGCGGCGCAGUAAGUAGGGGGUGAAAUCUCACGGCUCAACCGUGAAACGGCCUCCAAAACUGCUGUGCUUGAGCACGGUAGAGGCAGAUGGAAUUCCCGGUGUAGCGGUGGAAUGCGUAGAUAUCGGGAAGAACACCAGUGGCGAAGGCGGUCUGCUGGGCCGUUGCUGACGCUGAGGCGCGACAGCGUGGGGAGCAAACAGGAUUAGAUACCCUGUAGUCCACGCCGUAAACGAUGGGUACUAGGCGUCGGGGGGAGCGACCCCUUCGGUGCCGUCGCUAACGCAGUAAGUA
rnacentral:rRNA from 1 species